CUACGGGAGGCACCAGUGAGGAAUAUUGCACAAUGGAGGAAACUCUGGUGCAGCAACGCCGCGUGGAGGAUGACGCAUUUCGGUGUGUAAACUCCUUUUAUAUGUCAAGAAAAUGACGGUAGCAUAUGAAUAAGCUCCGGCUAACUCCGUGCCAGCAGCCGCGGUAAUACGGAGGGAGCAAGCGUUACUCGGAAUCACUGGGCGUAAAGGACGCGUAGGCGGGAUAGAAAGUCAGGUGUGAAAUCCUAUGGCUCAACCAUAGAACUGCACUUGAAACUUCUAACCUAGAGUAUGGGAGGGGAAGAUGGAAUUAGUGGUGUAGGGGUAAAAUCCGUAGAUAUCACUAGGAAUACCAAAAGCGAAGGCGAUCUUCUGGAACAAUACUGACGCUAAGGCGUGAAAGCGUGGGGAGCAAACAGGAUUAGAUACCCCGGUAGUC
rnacentral:rRNA from 1 species